UACAGAGGGGGCACGCGUUAUUCGGAAUUAUUGGGCGUAAAGGGCGCGUAGGCGGCCUGGCAAGUGGAAGGUGAAAUCCCUCGGCUUAACCGAGGAACUGCCUCCCAAACUGCUUGGCUUGAGACCGGGAGAGGUGAGUGGAAUUCCCAGUGUAGCGGUGAAAUGCGUAGAUAUCGGGAGGAACACCUGUGGCGAAAGCGGCGCACUGGACCACAACUGACGCUGAGGCGCGAAAGCUAGGGGAGCAAACAGG
rnacentral:rRNA from 1 species